GAUGAACGCUGGCGGCGUGCCUAAUACAUGCAAGUCGAACGAACAGAUGAGGAUCUUGCUCCUCUGACGUUAGCGGCGGACGGGUGAGGAACACGUGGAUCACCUACCUAUAAGACUGGGAUAACUUCGGGAAACCGGAUCUAAUACCGGAUAAUAUAUUGAUCCGCAUGGUUCAAUAGUGAAAGACGGUUUUGCUGUCACUUAUAGAUGGAUCCGCGCGGCAUUAGCUAGUUGGUAAGGUAACGGCUUACCAAGGCAACGAUGCAUAGCCGACCUGAGAGGGGGAUCGGCAAAACUGGAACUGGACAACGGCCCAGCCUCCUACGGGAGGCACCAGAAGGAAACCUUCCGCAAGGGGCGAAAGCUGGACGAAGCAACGCGGGGUGGGUGAUGAAGGUCUUCGGUUCGUAAAACUCUGUUAUUGGGGAAGAACAAAUGUGUAAGUAACGAUGCACGUCUUGACGGUACCUAAGCAGAAAGCCACGGCUAACUACGU
rnacentral:rRNA from 1 species